UACGAAGGGGGCUAGCGUUGCUCGGAAUCACUGGGCGUAAAGGGUGCGUAGGCGGGUUUUUAAGUCAGAGGUGAAAUCCUGGAGCUCAACUCCAGAACUGCCUUUGAUACUGAGAAUCUUGAGUAUGGGAGAGGUGAGUGGAACUGCGAGUGUAGAGGUGAAAUUCGUAGAUAUUCGCAAGAACACCAGUGGCGAAGGCGGCUCACUGGCCCAUAACUGACGCUGAGGCACGAAAGCUAGGGGAGCAAACGGG
rnacentral:rRNA from 1 species